GUUGAGGUUGGGCUUGGUGAUUAUAGAAGUCUUUUUGAACAAUAAUAAGUCUAUGAUUCUGUGAUUCUAUUUGGGGUUUGUCCAAGAGGUCACAGGUGGGGCUGGCUGGCCAUCAGAACACACUGAUGUGCUCAGGGCCAUAACAGUAGCAGUUAAUCCCAAAACAAGUUGCACCUGGCUGUACAGGUCUGCCAUGCUCCACAGGCCCUCAGACUGUGUUCUCUAGCUUUUGCUGUAGCUCUUCAUGCCCAUAAAGUGACCACAGCGCGUGCUCUGCUACAGCCAUCUCUGCAUCUUACACAUGGCCUGGUGCCAUGGCUGUACUUACCAGGGCUGGGGAAGCAGUGCCCUUCAGGGAACUGAAGAAGUAAGGGGUAACCAAGAGAAGGACGAGCUUUGAAUGUUGCUGGUCUGACCUCCACAACAGAGCAGGGAUGCUUUAUGGAGAUCAGUGAUGAGUGCUGUCCUUCAGGGGUCAGUACUGACAUCAGUGCUCUUAAAUAUCUCUAUCAAUGACACUGACAGUGGUUUGUGUGCACCCUCAGCAGUUUGUGGAUGACGCCUUGACAUGCCCGAGGGAUAGGAUGCCAUCCAGAGAGACCUGGACAGGCUGAGCUGUGUGUCCAGGAUAACCACAUGAGGUUCAACAAAUCCAGUGCAACUGCACCUGGGUUGUGGCAACCCCUGCUAUGGGGUGUAAGGAUGAAGCACAGCACUGCCAAAAAGGACCUGGGGUACUGGUGGAUGGCAGCUGGGCAUGAGCCAGCAGCAUGCCCUCACAGCCAGAAAGCCAACAGUCCCCUGGGUGCACCCAAAGCAGUGUGGCCAGCAGGGCAGGGAGGGGAUCUGCUCUUCUGCUCUGCACUGUGACAUCUCCUGGAGCACUGCGCCCAGGUGGGGAGUGCUCAGCACAGGAGAGACAUGGAGCUGUUGGAGUGUGUCCAGUGUUGUGGGCUGUUGUGACAGGACAAGGGGAAAUGAUUUCAAACAAAAAGGGGAGACUUAGAUUGAAUGUAAAGAUGAAGAUUUGUACACUAAGGGCGGUGAGACACUGCACAGGUUGCCCAGAGAGGCGGUGAUGCCCCAUCCCUGCAGACAGGCAAGGUCAGGAUGGAGGAGCUCUGAGCACUGGUAGAGCUGUGGGUGUCCCUGUGCGCUGCAGGGAGUGGGACCUGAUGGCCUUUGGGCCAUCCAACUCAAAUGAUUUUAUAAUUCAGUGACUCUGUGAGUUAGAAUGGAGUGCCUGGGGUCAUAUCAAGGUUGGUUGUGAACACGUCAAGGAAUGGAGAGAUUCCACAACUGUUGUUUUUGUUUUGUUUUGUUUGUUUCUCCAGUGUUUGAAGAGCCUCAGAAUGAUAUUUUCUUAAUCUAAUUGUAAUUUCCCUUGCUUCCCUUGUGUCUGUUGCCUCUCAUCCUGUCCCUAUGGACCUUCAGAGCUGCAGAAUCACAGCCUCAUAUAUUCAUUUAGGUUGGAAGUGACAGUCUGACCCCUCUGUUCAAUGCAGAUCUACAGUGUGAUGUCCUCAUCCAGUCAAGACCUGAAAACCUUCAAGAAGGGAAAACUCACAGCCUCUCUGGACACCUGUUCUACACCCCUGAGUACAACUUGGAUCCACAUUCUCUGCAUCCACCAGGCUGUGCAGACCACAAAGGCCGCCCCUUUGCUUGCUCUUCUCUCUAUGGUACCAAUCCACCAGAAAAGGACUGACUAGAAUUUUCUUGAAGAAAUCCAUGUUGUAAGUGCUCCUAUUUACAGAGAGAGGCUUGGAAUGAGAUUAGUCCAUGUUCAUUCCGCCCCAGUUCCCAAAGCUGCAGGGGCAGUGGGUCCAGCAGAGCGUACCACACAUUGCACAAGAGCAGUGCUGUGCUGCUGGAGUGGGACUUUUUGAAACGUGGUGCUUAGAUGAAAAAAGCACCACUUGCCAGGAGCACUCCAGUGCCUCAUUCCCGAGGGCCAAGAUGGGCUUCCCCAUGGCUGGGCUCAAUGCCUGCUCUAGAGAGAGCAAUUGAUGCCCCGACAUUUGAUUUCUGUCCAGGAGGGGAAUGCCAUCAGGGUGUUUACUUACGUGCUGAAAUGCUGGAAGGUGCUCAGAGGACACGAUUCCCUGGGGAAACCCUGCGAGAGCAGUGGGGGGAGGUGGGGGACGGGGGCAGCCAGGCUGUGUACGUCGGAGCUGUUCCAAGGCACUGUCUCAUUGGCAACUUGCUAUUUGCUUUGCUUCUGAAGGAAGCUCUUCACCUUCGUGAGACACAGCCUUCUUUACCUGAGGACAUGUCACUUCACUACGAAGAGCAAACACAGCACAAAGCACUAGCGCUGUCGCCGAACAGGGGACAAGUGCUGCGGUUUGGGUCUUGUGCUCCCACCCCUCACCCACAGAGCCCUAUAACUUUCAGGCUGCACACCCCUCCCACAGGCCACAUCCGCCUGGCUUCCACCCCGCAGGGUCCCCUCGGAGACAGUAUGGCUACCCAGUGCCUUUGCCUCCUGAUUCUCACCUCCCUGCUGGCCCUGGCAGCACCUCUUGUCUUUGACAUAAAAAACUUGCAUCUCUUAAAUGGAACGAUGGAUGAAAUUAUGAAUAUUCACCCUGAGCCCGUCCAGCCUGAUGAGGGGGACCACCACGUUCGACAGGUCAGAGAUAUUGCCCGCGCCCACCAGCGGCUCAUGGUAAGUCUGUGCAAGAAGUACAUCUUCUCACAAGAUUUCACCUUUGCUAAUAGCCCAGAGGCUCAUGGAGAGCUCUUGGCCCUUUGUAUGCACUCGUUCCUCCAGAAACAACAGAGGUGCCACAGCUCAUCAUCCUGGAUAGACCCUAGCACCAGCCACGUUCUCCACUUAAUAUGUGCUGAGAGAAUUUUCUACCUGAAGAUCUAAACUGGAAAUUGAUGAUUCAUUAUCUGCCUUCAGGUUGUGGUGGCUGAUUAUUACCUGAUUUUGGCUGUGCAGUUGAUGACAAGGCUGGUUAAGACAGAGAGUAACUGAAUAACUGAGCUGGCUGAGUCAGCGCAAGCUCUAUGGCCACAUGGCACGGCUUCUUUGGGUGCAA
ensembl:lncRNA